UACGUAGGGGGCAAGCGCUGUCCGGAUUUAUUGGGCGUAAAGAGCGUGUAGGCGGCCAUGCAGGUCCGUUGUGAAAACUCGAGGCUCAACCUCGAGACGCCGGUGGAAACCGUAUGGCUAGAGUCCGGAAGAGGAGAGUGGAAUUCCUGGUGUAGCGGUGAAAUGCGCAGAUAUCAGGAAGAACACCCGUGGCGAAGGCGGCUCUCUGGGACGUGACUGACGCUGAGACGCGAAAGCGUGGGGAGCGAACAGG
rnacentral:rRNA from 1 species